AAACUACAUGGGUACCACUACAAUCUCAGUUCGUACAGUUGAUGUUGAUUAUGAAUAACGUUGUUGAGUUGUAUGCGACAAUACUCAAAUUCAUAGUAAACUUUAUUAUUAGUUUUAAUGCCAGGAAUUAUAAAGGAAGUUUUUCACGUUUAGGAGUGUUUAGAUGAAGCAUAAUCUACUUGAAAAAAAACUCAAAAAAAGUUGUCUAAGAAUAAUUAAAUAAAAAAGUUAACAAAGCGUCAGGUACUUAGAAUAGACAACUCAAUUUUCAUGUUAUUUAUUAUUAAAAGGGAUAGUAUGUUUUAUGUAUGUUUUACAUGUAAUAAUAUUUCAUCAACGACUGUUAAUUGAAAUAAUGAAAAAAAAAAUUGUUUUAUGUUACAUUUUGUUAUAAUUGUUAAACGCCUAGAGAUUUUCCUUAACGUUUUCAUGAUUGGAGUGCACAUACAAGGGACGUCUAGAAAUUUUAUGUUAUGAUAGUAAUUACUAUCAAUAUCAUGGUUGUAACGGGAAUACAGGAUUCGAUUCCGGGAAGGGAGUCUGAGAAACGGCUCCCACAUCCAAGGAAAGCAGCAGACGCGUAAAUUACCCACUCCCGGAACAUGGAGGUAGUGACGAAAAAUAACGACACUGGAUUCAUCCUUUGUAAUCUGAAUGAAUGAGUUCUAUAUCUCUAAAUAAGAAUUAAGUGUGUUAAUAUAUAUUUUUAAUAGUAAUUAGAAUAUAUAUAUACAUGUAAAGCGACUUAAGUACGUAAACG